rnacentral:rRNA from 1 species
AGGGCACCACCAGGAGUGGAGCCUGCGGCUUAAUUUGACUCAACACGGGAAAUCUCACCAGGCCCGGACACUGGAAGGAUUGACAGAUUGAGAGCUCUUUCUCGAUUCGGUGGGUGGUGGUGCAUGGCCGUUCUUAGUUGGUGGAGUGAUUUGUCUGGUUAAUUCCGAUAACGGACGAGACUCUGUCCUGCUAAAUAGUUCCCGCGUCCUUUGUUGCGCGGGAAAUUCUUCUUAGAGGGACUGGCGGCGUCUAGCCGCACGAGAUUGAGCAAUAACAGGUCUGUGAUGCCCUUAGGUGUUCUGGGCCGCACGCGCGCUACACUGAAGGGAUCAGCGUGUCUUCCCUUCCCGAGAGGGACGGGUAACCCGCUGAACCCCCUUCGUGGUAGGGAUCGGGGCUUGCAAUUAUUCCCCGUGAACCAGGAAUUCCCAGUAAGCGCAAGUCAUAAGCUUGCGUUGAUUACGUCCCUGCCCUUUGUACACACCGCCCGUCGCUACUACCGAUUGAACGUUUUAGUG